rnacentral:rRNA from 1 species
UAUGUGAUCGUCUCUCGCAUAUCAAUAAGCGGAGGAAAAGAAACUAACAAGGAUUCCCCUAGUAACGGCGAGUGAAGCGGGAAGAGCUCAAAUUUGAAAUCUUAAAGGGUUUCCCUUUACGAAUUGUAGUUUAAAGAAGUGUUUUCUGUUGAGGUUUUGGUAAAAGUUCUUUGGAAUAGGACAUCAUAGAGGGUGAGAAUCCCGUAUUUGACCUUUACUUUCAACUUUGUGAUACACUUUCAAAGAGUCGGAUUGUUUGGGAAUGCAGUCCAAAAUGGGUGGUAAAUUUCAUCUAAAGCUAAAUAUUGGCGAGAGACCGAUAGCGAACAAGUACCGUGAGGGAAAGAUGAAAAGAACUUUGAAAAGAGAGUUAAACAGUACGUGAAAUUGUCAAAAGGGAAGCGUUUGACACCAGUGUUGUUUUUCUGAAAAUCAAUUAAAGAACUGUUUAUGCUAAGUUGUUUAGACUUUAUCAGCUAACUGUUUAGUUUUGAGCUUUUCUUUAAUGCACUUUUCAGUUAACAAGUCAACAUCAAUUUCUUUUGCUGUAAAAAAGCUUGAGGAAGGUGGCUUGAGAUUCGUCUUAGGUGUUUAUAGCCUCUUGCCUAUGCAGUCGGAGAGAUUGAGGUCUGCAGCGUAGAUCCUUCGGGGCUAAAUGCAUUUGUACUAAGUUAUAGCAUUUUAUAGACAACUUGUUGACUAUGAUUUGUCUUGUAGCUUACUCGCUUAUGUUAUUUUACCUACGCUUAGGAUGUUGACACACGCGCGUGCUCG